rnacentral:rRNA from 1 species
UGCUAAACGACUAGCCCUUUUAAUGCUUAAAUUUAAUUUAUAACUAACAUGAUAAUACACUUAAUGCAUAAACUAAAUCAUUCUUACCCCUCAGUAUAGGUGAUAGAAACGGAAUUUGUGGAGCGAUAGAACUAGUACCGUAAGGGAAAACUGAAAUAUCAAAUGAAAACUCUUAAGCAAAAAACAGCAAAGACUUACCCUUGUACCUUUUGCAUCAUGAUCUAACUAGUCAUAUCAGGCAAAGAGAACUUUAGUCUGACACCCCGAAACUAAGUGAGCUACUUCGAGUCAGUCUAAUUAUGGGACCAACCCGUCUCUGUGGCAAAAGAGUGGGAAGAACUCCAAGUAGAGGUGAUAAACCUACCGAGCUUAGUGAUAGCUGGUUACCUAGAAAAUGAAUAUAAGUUCAGCCCCGCCCAUCCACUAACCCCAUCAAUAAUUUAAUCUUUGGCCUAGUGCUAACCCGGGAGUUACUCAAGAGAGGUACAGCUCUCUUGAGAAAGGAUUCAACCUUGCACGGGAGGAUAAAACUCAUUUAUGAUUAAGGUCUAUAUGGCCUUAGUAGGCCUAAAAGCAGCCACCUUUGAAGAUAGCGUUAAAGCUCAAGCUAUAAUACCCCAUUAAUAAGGAUUAAUUAUUUAAAUCCCCCUGUUUUACUAGGUCAUUCUAUUUAUAAAUAGAAAAGACUAUGUUUGAACGAGUAGUCAGAGAGCUAUUUACCUCUCUCUUUGCAUAAGUGUAUCUCGGAUCGGAUUACCCACCGAAUAUUAUUCGACUUCAAAUACAGAGAUACUUGGGAAUUUUUACAUCUCCUAGAAAAACCCCCAUAUUUGUAUCGUUAAUCUAACACAAGUGUGCUAAUAAGAAAGAUUUAAAGAGGAGGAAGGAACUCGGCAAACACUAGCCCCGCCUGUUUACCAAAAACAUCACCUCUUGCUAAUCAACGAAUAAGAGGCCACGCCUGCCCGGUGACUUAAAGUUUAACGGCCGCGGUAUUAUGACCGUGCAAAGGUAGCGUAAUCACUUGUCUUUUAAAUGGAGACCCGUAUGAAUGGCGAAACGAGGGCAAAACUGUCUUCCCCCCCUAAUCAACGAAACUGAUCUCCCCGUGCAGAAGCGGGGAUAAUACCACAAGACGAGAAGACCCUGUGGAGCUUUAGACUUUAAGGAGCCCACCUCAAGUACUCGUAGAAAAGUAAAACCAAGUGCCCCUCCCCUAAAUGUCUUUGGUUGGGGCGACCGCGGAGACAAGACUAACCCCCGCGUGGAUAGGGCUACCCCUAUAACCCAGAGCUACAGCUCUAAGUAUCAGAAUACCUGACCUUGAAUGAUCCGGCCUGCCGAUCAACGAACCGAGUUACCCCAGGGAUAACAGCGCAAUCCUCUUCUAGAGCCCAUAUCGACAAGGGGGUUUACGACCUCGAUGUUGGAUCAGGAUAUCCUAAUGGUGCAGCCGCUAUUUAAGGUUCGUUUGUUCAACGAUUAAAAUCCUACGUGAUCUGAGUUCAGACCGGAGAAAUCCAGGUCAGUUUCUAUCUGUGAGGAUAUCUUUUCUAGUACGAAAGGACCGGGAAGAUGGGGCCUAUCCCACAGGUACGCCUCCUCCCUGCCCGCUGAACUCAACUAAAGCGAAUUGAGGGAUUUGACCGUACGCCGUAGAGUACGGCUU